UACGUAGGGGGCGAGCGUUGUCCGGAAUGACUGGGCGUAAAGGGCGCGUAGGCGGCUCGAUAAGUUGGAUGUGAAAUACCCGUGCUCAACAUGGGGGUUGCAUUUAAGACUGUCGAGCUGAGUGCAGGAGAGGAAAGCGGAAUUCCCAGUGUAGCGGUGAAAUGCGUAGAGAUUGGGAGGAACACCAGUGGCGAAGGCGGCUUUCUGGACUGUAACUGACGCUGAGGCGCGAAAGCGUGGGGAGCAAACAGGAUUAGAUACCCUGGUAGUCCACGCUGUAAACGAUGGAUGCUAGGUGUAGGAGGUAUCGACCCCUUCUGUGCCGGAGCAAACGCAAUAAGCAUCCCGCCUGGGGAGUACGGCCGCAAGGUUGAA
rnacentral:rRNA from 1 species